GACGAACGCUGGCGGCGUGCCUAAUACAUGCCAGUCGAGCGGACGGAUGGGAGCUUGCUCCCAGACCGUCAGCGGCGGACGGGUGAGUAACACGUGGGCAACCUGCCUGUAAGACUGGGAUAACUCCGGGAAACCGGGGCUAAUACCGGAUAACUCUUUCCCUCACAUGAGGGAAAGCUGAAAGAUGGCAUCUCGCUAUCACUUACAGAUGGGCCCGCGGCGCAUUAGCUAGUUGGUGAGGUAACGGCUCACCAAGGCGACGAUGCGUAGCCGACCUGAGAGGGUGAUCGGCCACACUGGGACUGAGACACGGCCCAGACUCCUACGGGAGGCAGCAGUAGGGAAUCUUCCGCAAUGGACGAAAGUCUGACGGAGCAACGCCGCGUGAGUGAUGAAGGUUUUCGGAUCGUAAAACUCUGUUGUCGGGGAAGAACAAGUACCGGAGUAACUGCCGGUACCUUGACGGUACCUGACCAGAAAGCCACGGCUAACUACGUG
rnacentral:rRNA from 1 species